rnacentral:rRNA from 1 species
GAUGAACGCUGGCGGCGUGCAUAAUACAUGCAAGUCGAGCGAAGCAGGGACGGGUGAGUAACACGUGGAUAACCUUCUAUAAGAAUGGGAUAACUUCGGGAAACCGUAGCUAAAACGGAUAAUUCGAGGUAGAUCCGCGCUGCAUUAGCUCGGUGGUAAGGUAAAUGCUGACCACGGCAACGAUGGAUAUCCGAACUGAGAGGGGGAUCGGCCACACUGGAACGGAGAGACGGUCCAGACUCCGACGGGAGGCAGCAGUAGGGAAUCGUCCGCAAUGGGCGAAAGCCUGACGGAGCAACGCCGCGUGAGUGAUGAAGGUCUUCGGAUCGUAAAACUCUGUUAUGAGGGAAGCGGUACCUAAUCAGAAAGCCACGGCUAACUACGUGCCAGCAGCCGCGGUAGUAC